rnacentral:rRNA from 3 species
UGAGCCAAGUUUAGGGUUUUCUCAAAACCCAAGCAGUAUUGAACUGAAGAGUUUGAUCAUGGCUCAGAUUGAACGCUGGCGGCAGGCCUAACACAUGCAAGUCGAGCGGAUGAAGGGAGCUUGCUCCUGGAUUCAGCGGCGGACGGG